rnacentral:snRNA from 1 species
UAGUGUUACAGCUCUGUUAGAAUUUGCCUAGCAGGUCUCCCGGUCUCUACCGGAAGGCCCCC